GUGUUGACAGGCAUGAGUUUGUGUCCAUAUGACAGGUGAAGGAUGUACAACACAGUUGGGCCUGAUCUUGUUUAAACUCACCCCUUUGUGUAGCUGAUAAGUCCCGCAGACCAGGAUGUUGUGGCACGGGGACACAGGACACCACUCCACCGUGUCAGCGCUCAGCUCCGUGUCAAACACUUGCAGACUGCGGGUCCUCGACUUCCAGGCCAUGGCCGCCUGCUCUGCAUAACAUCCCUGUGCUGGUGCACUCACUGAAAGCAGCAACAACACGUCUCAGCUGCAGAACCAACAGUGAACUCAGAUACAUCUAUACAGGAUCGCUGCUGUGGCCACAUCAUGGAUCGUGAUGGUGGAUUGUAGACUGUGAUCGUGGACCAUAGAUUAUGACGGUGGAUGGCGAAUCAGAGAUCGUGAUGGUGGAUCGUGAUCGAGGUGGCAGCUGAUUGUGAUGGUGGAUCUGGAUCAUGGAUAGUGGUGAUGGAUCAUGAUGUUGGAUUAUGGAUUGUGUCAAAGUCAACAUUAUAUUCGAUUCUGCCAUAUGUACAGGACAUAGCCGGGAUUGAAAUGCUGUUUCUCUCUGAUCCCCAGUGUAAACAUAUAAGUAGACAGAACAUAUAAAUAUGCAAAAACAGAACUUAUAAGUACGCAAAUUAAUAAGUAGACAGUAUGACAUCACGAUUGUUAUGGUGGUGAUGGAUCAUGGUGGUGAAUCAGGAUGGUGGAUUGCCAAUCGCGGUGGUGGAUCAUCAUUGUAAUGGCGGAAACUCUUUGUUUUUUCAGAUUUACGGAUAAUCUGAUAAUCAGAUAGACGGUUCAGUAAGAUUUCAUAUGAUACUUUGUCCUUUUUCGACCUUCUCUCAGCUUGCUGACAUACACGUCUGAGAGUAUGGAUAGAGUCGUUUAACCAUGGCUCCGAAGGUGCUGUAGUGCGUUUCAUCCUCAAAGGAGCAACAGAGUCCAAAGUGCUUGUGCAGGUUAAGUUAAAAACAGUAAUAAGCUCAUCAGCAUUGAGAACAUCACAUCUAUCCGAGUUAUAUAGCACAAACUCUUUAAAAAAAGCUGAGAAUUGCAACAGAGUUUAACAGUUAAUUACACAAUGGCAGCAUGCAGGAGGAGAAGACUUGACCACAGAGCAAGGGAUUUUAAUAAUGAAACAGGCAGAUGAUCUGGUAAAGAUGUAUCACAGAAUUCAUUUUCAUGAACACAUAGGCCAUAAGAAAGCACCAGGUCUAAUGUGUGGCCCUCUUCAUGUGUGUGGCCAGAAAAGCUGAAAUGUACUGUUCUCUCAAUCUGUUUGGGAACAAAGUUAACUAUCUUUGAGAGCUUUAUUGUAAAUUAGAUGUUAAAAACUGUAGUAAUACCCUCGACUGCUUCAGGUUUGAGAGGGUACUAUGGUUGAUGAGGCCUGUAAUCAGAUUUAGGUGUGAUCACAACUGGUUGCAUGCCUUUAAUUAAACCAACAUCAUGUUUACCUUGGGCUCACAAUGUCUAAGGGACUUCCUGUAAAGCUGGAAUGUUUGUGAUGUCACAUGUUUCAUUCAAAUGUGCAGAUGUGUGCUGCUUGUCUGGUACCAGUUGAACAGCUCUGAGUGUGUCAGCAUUGCAUGUGUAUUUUUGUCUGUACACCUUAAGUUCAGAAUUUAAGUGAAUCAAUGUACCUUAUUAAAUCUCUGCUUCAACAAA